rnacentral:lncRNA from 1 species
AAUGUCAGUUUCACCUUCUUUUUUUCCAAGUUCUGCACACCAAGGGACUCUGGCCAGCCGGCCAAUGUUCAUCCGUGCUCACUACAGGAGUUCAGGUAUAUAUAAAAUCAAGACAAAAGAACCCAAGGGCACAGAUAUUUAACGAGGAUAAUUUAUAGAUAAAGCACGCACAUUACAUAGACACGAACGUAGUACGACGCACACAAUAUCAGUUCACCACUCUGCUCUGCUCGUGGAACCUACCGGCACCCAGGCCACAACACCAUGAACUGCAUGCGGAUAAUUAACUCGAUCGACCCUAAACCACACACAACGACUAGGUAGAACGACACGGAUCUGGCCGCCAAGGCCUAGCUAAGCUUCAGUACUAGUAGCAGCAAUUUAUUCUCCAGACAUGGGACUCCUCACACGGCAGACGUACGUCGACAGACACACGGGCCAGGGCGCUUCAGUUCGUUCA